UACAGAGGUCCCAAGCGUUGUUCGGAUUCAUUGGGCGUAAAGGGUGCGUAGGCGGCGCGGUAAGUCGGGUGUGAAAUCUCGGAGCUUAACUCCGAAACUGCAUUCGAUACUGCCGUGCUUGAGGACUGGAGAGGAGACUGGAAUUUACGGUGUAGCGGUGAAAUGCGUAGAGAUCAUGAGGAAGACCAGUGGCGAAGGCGGGUCUCUGGGACGGUACUGACGCUGAGACGCGAAAGCGUGGGGAGCGAACAGG
rnacentral:rRNA from 1 species